rnacentral:rRNA from 1 species
CACUCCUGCGGGAGGCAGCAGUGGGGAAUAUUGGACAAUGGGCGCAAGCCUGAUCCAGCCAUGCCGCGUGAGUGAUGAAGGCCCUAGGGUUGUAAAGCUCUUUUGUGCGGGAAGAUAAUGACGGUACCGCAAGAAUAAGCCCCGGCUAACUUCGUGCCAGCAGCCGCGGUAAUACGAAGGGGGCUAGCGUUGCUCGGAAUCACUGGGCGUAAAGGGUGCGUAGGCGGGUCUUUAAGUCAGGGGUGAAAUCCUGGAGCUCAACUCCAGAACUGCCUUUGAUACUGAAGAUCUUGAGUUCGGGAGAGGUGAGUGGAACUGCGAGUGUAGAGGUGAAAUUCGUAGAUAUUCGCAAGAACACCAGUGGCGAAGGCGGCUCACUGGCCCGAUACUGACGCUGAGGCACGAAAGCGUGGGGAGCAAACAGGAUUAGAAACCCUAGUAGUCCC